AGAAUACGGGGUAAACCGUAUGGGUUGACAGCGAUGAGGCGUUUCGGGUCAAUUUAUCCUCAGUUGUGAUAAACUCACAUGCACGAGAGGACGUACACUCCUCCUCUGUGCGAUGGUGAUCAACUUGGCGCCGUAAACUCGCUCCCCGUAUGCGUUGGUGGGGGGAGGGAAUGGAUGGAGUUAGUUCCCUGGCCGACACUGAAGAGAGAGCGAGAGAGAUCAUUCUUGCUCGACCGGUUUGGAUGACCGACCGAGUGAGUGUAAGCAGCAGCAGCAGCCUGGAAGAAGGGGGAAUCGCUACAGGCUCGGUUGUACACACGUCCUGGAGCGAGUCAGUUCCACGUGUCCCGAGGCCAAGCAAGAGAAGCGGCGAGUUUCUCCCAACUCGCCCAACACCAACCCAACAACAGUCCCCCUGCGGGUCUCUCUUGGAAAACAGCUCACGGCAGCCAAAGUGAUCCUUAACCCCAUCAACGAACAAAGACGACAACUCACACGGCCACCUCGAACUGCUCGACGGCGAUGCCUGCCUCCAGGUCGCGCUCCAGCUGCUCCAUGGAGAGGCGCAGCGCGUCCUGGCCGCCCUCGCUGCUGCCCUCGUGCGGUUCCGCUGGCUCCAGCGCCGUGUACUGGAAGUCGGGCUCGCUGUCCACCUCGUCGUCGUCCUCUUCCUCCUCCGCGCCGUACACGGCUGCCACGAGCAGGAGGAUGGGGAGCACAGAAAGGGAACUAUUAAAAAAAAUGUUUUAAAAAAAAAUUUUAUUCGGUGUAAGGCUCACCGGAGCUGCUGCAUAGCUCUUUUUUUCAAAAGCGACCUGGCCAGCACAAAUGAUUGCUCAAUAAAGUGGCCGAUCACGUGGAAAUAUAUAGCAGACAAAUACUCUUAAACCCACGUUUAAGAGUAUUUAAACACGCAAACUGCAAAUAUACUGGUGUCAGGGUUGGGAUCGAACCCACGACCCUCCUCCUGUAUACCGGGUGAGGUAGUUAACAUUUCGCCUUCGCGCUGCCCUGAAUACAGUGGAGCCCCAUCCCAUCAACUUCACCUUCCCUCCUGCGCAUUUAGCGGUUCCGUUAUCGGCAUGGUCGUUUUUCAUCGAUUUGCCCACAAUGUCCCGCGAAUUUUAUCCAAAAUGCUGUGGGUGUCUUUCUUAACCCCUCCCCGUCUACAACACGCGCUAGGAACGCCCGGACACGUGCGCCUCUUCGGUAAGCGACGCGAGAUUCGUAUCCAUUUUCCCUGUAAGUUCUCAUCGUCGUCGUCGUUAAAACCCCCCCCACCCCACCGAACGCCUCUCUCACCGUUGGGCCUCACGAGCAGCAGCAGCUCGCCGUGGCCGCCCUGGCAGCUGGAGCGGAUGAACUGCACCACCUCCUCGUGGCUGCACCGGGAGAUGUCGCGGUCGUUCACCCGCACCAGCUGGUCGCCCUCGUUCAGCCGCGGCACGCACAUGUCCGCCUGGCGCCGGCAGCGGGCGUCGUUAGUUCACCCGCGUGGCCGGUCGCCCCCUUUAUAGAUCUUCUAUGGCUACUCGCUCACCACGCUUGCAGAUCGCAGCACGCUGACCUACCCACCCACCCACCCAAUCACCACACUGCAGAUCACAACACUUCUCUUUCUGCACGGCUUGGAACGCCUUCCCAAGUUCUCAUCGACGCGAUAAAUUCUUAACAGCUUUAAAUAUUUCGCCGUCAAUUUUUUUUUUCCUAUUCUUUUGGAUAUGCUGGGGCCUCUACUCGGCAGCCGUGAAAACAGCACCACCACCACCACCAACCAUUGGGAAUUUGUAAACCCUGUCCCCGUGUGCUUGGGAGUAAA